UUAAGAUUAGUGAGAAAAAUUAGUUAGUUCAAUAUUCAAAAUAGGAAGUGUAUAAGUUAGUUAGUCGGUUAUAUAACUACCUAUCCAAAAGUUAGUUAGGAGCUCUAACUAACUAAGUUCCAGAAGUGUUGUAUAUAUAUAAUCACUCUUGUACUCAUUUGUUUCAAUGAAUCAAUAAGAGAAUUGUGAGAGAUCUUAUAACUCUCAGAUAUA
rnacentral:lncRNA from 1 species